rfam:Nicotiana attenuata strain TT scaffold02573, whole genome shotgun sequence.
AUGCCAUGAUGUGGACACUUAACCAACAUACCCUUGAACCUCUCCCACGUUUCUUGUAAUGUUUUUGUUGGUUUCUGCCUGAAGCUCAAUAUCUCAUCACUUUGUGGGU